rnacentral:rRNA from 1 species
GAUGAACGCUGGCGGCGUGCCUAAUACAUGCAAGUCGAGCGAACGGACGAGAAGCUUGCUUCUCUGAUGUUAGCGGCGGACGGGUGAGUAACACGUGGAUAACCUACCUAUAAGACUGGGAUAACUUCGGGAAACCGGAGCUAAUACCGGAUAAUAUUUUGAACCGCAUGGUUCAAAAGUGAAAGACGGUCUUGCUGUCACUUAUAGAUGGAUCCGCGCUGCAUUAGCUAGUUGGUAAGGUAACGGCUUACCAAGGCAACGAUGCAUAGCCGACCUGAGAGGGUGAUCGGCCCCACUGGAACUGAGACACGGUCCAGACUCCUACGGGAGGCAGCAGUAGGGAAUCUUGCGCAAUGGGCGAAAGCCUGACGGAGCAACGCCGCGUGAGUGAUGAAGGUCUUCGGAUCGUAAAACUCUGUUAUUAGGGAAGAACAUAUGUGUAAGUAACUGUGCACAUCUUGACGGUACCUAAUCAGAAAGCCACGGCUAACUACGUG